AACCCAACAGCUCGCCUCCAAGAUCUAAAUUCAAUAAUCCAUAUUUAUAACCCCGAAUAUUCUGAUUUAAUUAACUAAAUCAUUCUUCCUCCUUAGUAAGUGUGACAGAACAGGAAAUAUGUGAGCGCCAUAGAAAAAGUACCGUAAGGGAACGCUGAAAGAGAAGUGAAAUAACCCAGUCAAGUACAGAAAAGCAGAGACUAGUUCUCGUACCUUUUGCAUCAUGAUUUAGCAAGUUUAUUCAAGCAAAAAGCAUUUUAGUUUGUUAUCCCGAAACUAGACGAGCUACUCCAGGACAGCCUAUUUAUAGGGCACACCCGUCUCUGUGGCAAAAGAGUGGGAGGAUCUUUGAGUAGAGGUGACAAACCUACCGAGCCUAGUUAUAGCUGGUUGCCUGGGAAUUAAAUAGAAGUUUAGCCUCUUGUCUUCUUAUGCCAAAUAUGGACACCCAAACCUCAGGUUUUGAGAAUACAUUGAGAGUUAGUCGGAAGGGGGACAGCCCUUCUGAAUAAAGAAACAACUUUUUUAACUGGAUAUUAAUCAUAAAUAUAUAAAGUUUAUGUCUAGGUGGGCCUAAAAGCAGCCACCCUAAAAGAUAGCGUUAAAGCUCAAACAUUGUUUAAACUAAUUAUUCCGAUAAAUUAUUAUAAUCCGUUUAAAAUACCAGGCCCUCCUAUCCUGCGAUAGGAAAGAUUAUGCUAAUAUGAGUAAUAAGAGAAUACAUUUCUCUCCCUGCAUAACUGUAAAUCGGAACGGACAAACCACCGAAAAUUAACGGCCCCAACCCAAGAGGGUUAUAGAUUUAAAAUAAAAAACAAGAAGUGCCUCUAUUUAAUUACCGUUGAACCUACACUGGAAUGCAAACCCGGAAAGACUAAAAGGGGAAGAAGGAACUCGGCAAAUAAUUAAAGCCUCGCCUGUUUACCAAAAACAUCGCCUCUUGAAUUUUACAUAUAAGAGGUCCUGCCUGCCCUGUGAUAUUAUUUAACGGCCGCGGUAUCUUGACCGUGCAAAGGUAGCGCAAUCACUUGUCUUUUAAAUGAAGACCUGUAUGAAUGGCUAAACGAGGGCUUAACUGUCUCCUUCCCUAAGUCAAUGAAAUUGAUUUCCCCGUGCAGAAGCGGGGAUGAAUACAUAAGACGAGAAGACCCUAUGGAGCUUUAGACGCAAGGGCAAAUCAUGUUAAUAAUACUAAAUUAAAUAGUUGAAACAAAUUGAAUCCUGCCACAAUGUCUUUGGUUGGGGUGACCACGGGGAAACAUCAAACCCCCGCGCGGAAUAAAAGUAAUAUCUUUUAAAACCGAGAGCUACCACUCUAAGUAACAGAAUAUCUGACCUUAAUGACCCGGCAAAGCCGAUCAACGAACCGAGUUACCCUAGGGAUAACAGCGCAAUCCCCUUUUAGAGUCCCUAUCGACAAGGGGGUUUACGACCUCGAUGUUGGAUCAGGACAUCCUAAUGGUGCAGCCGCUAUUUAGGGUUCGUUUGUUCAACGAUUAAAGUCCUACGUGAUCUGAGUUCAGACCGGAGUAAUCCAGGUCAGUUUCUAUCUAUGAAAUGUUUUCUUCCAGUACGAAAGGACCGAAGAAAAGGGGCCAAUUCUUCAAGUACGCCUCACCCUUAUCUAAUGAAACCAACUAAAAUAGAUAAAAGGGUAUAUUUCUACAGCUAAAGAUAAUAGCGU
ensembl:Mt_rRNA